UGUGGAUUAAUGGAGGCUCCAAGAGGGAAAUGAACGGGCCUAAAGGCCCACAGUCCACGCAUGAUACUCUGGAGAGGGGUACCGAUACCAAGUAUCCCCACACACAUAAGGUUCAGCACACCGACGGCAGAAUUGACGACGAGCGGCUGUGGAAACGGCGGAGCAAGGACGACACAGCGAAUCCCAAACCUCAAUGCUGAAAUAACGGCAAUAUCUCCGUAUCUGGACGCACAAAGCUUGACCUUCUCCAAAUCGUGGCGCAUCAUGCGAAGCAACACCAAUUCGCAACUCAAAACCAUCGUUGAACCUACCUUCUUGCUUCACCAAUUUAAACAGUAAAAUCUAAAUGUGGAGGUUGAAUCGGAAAACUCACAAAACAAGUAUCACAUAUUUCCGCUCUGAUUUUCGCUUGAUCCUUCUUCUUGAGCUCUUCUGAGAGGACUUUGCGUCGUUGUUGUUCGAUGCGGAAUGGAGAAUGCGAUUUGUUUCCGUACGGUGCAGGUGUCGACUCUUUCGCCGGAUUUUCGAUCGAUUCUUUGUCCUCUUCUCUGCUUCUGUUAUGAACUUUUUCUUUGAAUUAUAUUAUUGUGAUGUGAAGGUUGAGUAACGUGUUAUGGUGCGAUUGGUGGAGUUGUUGUGGAUUGGAAAUGGAGGUUUGACUGAAGGUUUUGGUUGAAGGCGAAGAUUGUUACGGUGAUGGCUGGGAGAAAGGUUGGUUAGAGAUGCGGUGAGGUUGAAGAAGAAAAAUCUGGGAAGAGGCUUGAGAUAGGUGAAGAUUGAUUUAUAUAGAGUGAUGGAGAGUGAGAUUCGAAGUUAGGAAAUUUGUUAGGAACCUGUUAUUGGAUUGUGAAAUUAUGCAGGUCAAUUUUUAUUUAUGCAGUGAAUUGGUUAUUAGUUUACAUUGCCGUUUCAAUUGGCUCGUGUGUUUCCAGCUUGAAGCUUGAAGUGUUGGCUGCACCUUGCCGUCUUUAAGAAGCUGUUAAGCUGUUGUUGAAGCUUGUGGCUUGAAUUGUUUUUCUAGCUUGUUGGGUCAUCGUUUUGCACCGCUUCAGGCUUGGUUUGGUGCAAUUUUGUGCUCUGCAGCUAGCUACCGUUCAUGCUUUGGUGUUUGAGUUCCGGUGCUAGCUUGUUGGCUGUGAUGCAGGCUUGGUACGCGUUUCAAGUGCUUAUUGUUGGAGCCGCUGCUUAUUGUGUUUAGGCUGCAUUUUCUUGGUUUUGGAUGCACUUUGUAGCAGUUGGAAGUAUUUGGAAGUGUAGCUCGCGGCUUAUGAGUGUUGGCUACUAAGCUUAUGCAAUUUCAUUUCCUUGUAUCGUAUUUGUACCGUAGCCUAUACUGCAGCUUUAGAAGCUUGUAGUUCACCUCCUUAUCAUUCUUCUUUUUAUUACUUAAUGAAAAAAAUGGUUAUGGAUUA